AACCAAAUUUCAAAAAAAAAAAAUUAUCUCACAAUGAAGAAUGGUACAAUACUUUUUAGUUUCUUUGCCUGACUGUUUAAUACAAGUUUGACUGUAUUUGAAUUCUGAUGCCUCUACAGGAUAUGUUUCCUGAAAUGGUAUUAAUCCUUUGGUAAGAGAAUAUUUCCGUAAAUACCUAUGAUGAUAAUUAAUAAAGGAGAAACUGUGUUGUAUCCUCAACUGAUGUGUAGAAAAUUGCACUCUUACCUAACCUAGAAUACCUAUUUCAUACUCCACCAUUCCAUAGUCCACUGAUAUAGAAAUGGUGUAUUGCGAGACAUUUCAUAGAAAAUAAUCAAUGUAUACAAAGACAAUAAGAAAAUAAAAGCCUUUCAUUUUUUCGUUCAA
rnacentral:lncRNA from 1 species